CUAUCGAUCCCCAUACGGCUGUACCCUACCUGUAGGUGCGCCUGUUCGGUUGCUCGUUGGCUCGGCUUCUGCGCUUCAACCCUCACAGCGCCGCCGUUCUCAGCCCUUCUCCGUCGCGCGGCCAGCCGCCGGUCCGCCGAGCCGCCGUUGUUCAAGCAUCGCUAGCCGGCCACCUCUACCCUCUUCCCACUCAGGGAUUGUUGGAAAUUCGAGGCUAGGGUCUUAAAAUUUGAAGGUAUUUGGGGACAAUUCGCUGCGAUUCAUAUAUAACUAGGGGAGGAUUAUUUUUGUGACAGCAAUGAGGCACAAUGUCGAGAGAAUUUAUGGAAAGGUUUAAAAAAAAGUGAAGACCUCGGCAUAAGAUGAUAUAACUAGCCCAUCACAUUCAGAAUAUAUUGACAUAUGUCGUCAUCUGAUCAUAUUUGUUUUCAUUGUUUGGAGUUCUUAUGCUUAAUUGUUCAAAUUUACAUAAUCAAUUAGUAUUUCAAGUGGAAGUGAACAAUUUAUUUUGGUAAGAAAUCUUGUUGCCAUAUAA